rnacentral:rRNA from 1 species
GACGUAGGGUCCAAGCGUUGUCCGGAAUCACUGGGCGUAAAGGGCGCGUAGGCGGCCAAGUAAGUCGGGCGUGAAAUCCCUAGGCUCAACCUAGGAACUGCACUCGAAACUGCAUGUCUUGAGUACCGGAGAGGAAAGCGGAAUACCUGGUGUAGAGGUGAAAUUCGUAGAUAUCAGGUGGAACACCAGUGGCGAAGGCGGCUUUCUGGACGGUAACUGACGCUGAGGCGCGAAAGCGUGGGGAGCAAACAGG